UUUAUGGAGAGUUUGAUCCUGGCUCAGGAUGAACGCUGGCGGCGUGCCUAAUACAUGCAAGUCGAGCGAACGGACGAGAAGCUUGCUUCUCUGAUGUUAGCGGCGGACGGGUGAGUAACACGUGGAUAACCUACCUAUAAGACUGGGAUAACUUCGGGAAACCGGAGCUAAUACCGGAUAAUAUUUUGAACCGCAUGGUUCAAAAGUGAAAGACGGUCUUGCUGUCACUUAUAGAUGGAUCCGCGCUGCAUUAGCUAGUUGGUAAGGUAACGGCUUACCAAGGCAACGAUGCAUAGCCGACCUGAGAGGGUGAUCGGCCACACUGGAACUGAGACACGGUCCAGACUCCUACGGGAGGCAGCAGUAGGGAAUCUUCCGCAAUGGGCGAAAGCCUGACGGAGCAACGCCGCGUGAGUGAUGAAGGUCUUCGGAUCGUAAAACUCUGUUAUUAGGGAAGAACAUAUGUGUAAGUAACUGUGCACAUCUUGACGGUACCUAAUCAGAAAGCCACGGCUAACUACGUGCCAGCAGCCGCGGUAAUACGUAGGUGGCAAGCGUUAUCCGGAAUUAUUGGGCGUAAAGCGCGCGUAGGCGGUUUUUUAAGUCUGAUGUGAAAGCCCACGGCUCAACUGUGGAGGGUCAUUGGAAACUGGAAAACUUGAGUGCAGAAGAGGAAAGUGGAAUUCCAUGUGUAGCGGUGAAAUGCGCAGAGAUAUGGAGGAACACCAGUGGCGAAGGCGACUUUCUGGUCUGUAACUGACGCUGAUGUGCGAAAGCGUGGGGAUCAAACAGGAUUAGAUACCCUGGUAGUCCACGCCGUAAACGAUGAGUGCUAAGUGUUAGGGGGUUUCCGCCCCUUAGUGCUGCAGCUAACGCAUUAAGCACUCCGCCUGGGGAGUACGACCGCAAGGUUGAAACUCAAAGGAAUUGACGGGGACCCGCACAAGCGGUGGAGCAUGUGGUUUAAUUCGAAGCAACGCGAAGAACCUUACCAAAUCUUGACAUCCUUUGACAACUCUAGAGAUAGAGCCUUCCCCUUCGGGGGACAAAGUGACAGGUGGUGCAUGGUUGUCGUCAGCUCGUGUCGUGAGAUGUUGGGUUAAGUCCCGCAACGAGCGCAACCCUUAAGCUUAGUUGCCAUCAUUAAGUUGGGCACUCUAAGUUGACUGCCGGUGACAAACCGGAGGAAGGUGGGGAUGACGUCAAAUCAUCAUGCCCCUUAUGAUUUGGGCUACACACGUGCUACAAUGGACAAUACAAAGGGCAGCGAAACCGCGAGGUCAAGCAAAUCCCAUAAAGUUGUUCUCAGUUCGGAUUGUAGUCUGCAACUCGACUACAUGAAGCUGGAAUCGCUAGUAAUCGUAGAUCAGCAUGCUACGGUGAAUACGUUCCCGGGUCUUGUACACACCGCCCGUCACACCACGAGAGUUUGUAACACCCGAAGCCGGUGGAGUAACCUUUUAGGAGCUAGCCGUCGAAGGUGGGACAAAUGAUUGGGGUGAAGUCGUAACAAGGUAGCCGUAUCGGAAGGUGCGGCUGGAUCACCUCCUUUCU
rnacentral:rRNA from 1 species